rnacentral:rRNA from 1 species
AGCCUACGGGGCGCAGCAGUGGGGAAUAUUGCACAAUGGGGGGAACCCUGAUGCAGCGACGCCGCGUGAGUGAAGAAGUCAGUCGUGACGUAAAGCUCUAUCAGCAGGGAAGAAAAUGACGGUACCUGACUAAGAAGCCCCGGCUAACUACGUGCCAGCAGCCGCGGUAAUACGUAGGGGGCAAGCGUUAUCCGGAUUUACUGGGUGUAAAGGGAGCGUAGACGGCAGCGCAAGUCCGAAGUGAAAGCCCGGGGCCCAACCACGGUACUGCUUUGUAAACUGUGAAGCUGGAGUGCGGGCGGGUC